AGAGUUUGAUCCUGGCUCAGAUUGAACGCUGGCGGCAUGCCUUACACAUGCAAGUCGAACGGCAGCACGGGAGCAAUCCUGGUGGCGAGUGGCGAACGGGUGAGUAAUAUAUCGGAACGUGCCCAGUCGUGGGGGAUAACGCAGCGAAAGCUGUGCUAAUACCGCAUACGAUCUACGGAUGAAAGCGGGGGAUCGCAAGACCUCGCGCGAUUGGAGCGGCCGAUAUCAGAUUAGCUAGUUGGUGGGGUAAAGGCCCACCAAGGCGACGAUCUGUAGCUGGUCUGAGAGGACGACCAGCCACACUGGAACUGAGACACGGUCCAGACUCCUACGGGAGGCAGCAGUGGGGAAUUUUGGACAAUGGGCGCAAGCCUGAUCCAGCAAUGCCGCGUGCAGGAUGAAGGCCUUCGGGUUGUAAACUGCUUUUGUACGGAACGAAACGGUAAGCUCUAAUAAAGUUUGCUAAUGACGGUACCGUAAGAAUAAGCACCGGCUAACUACGUGCCAGCGGCCGCGGUAAUACGUAGGGUGCGAGCGUUAAUCGGAAUUACUGGGCGUAAAGCGUGCGCAGGCGGUUAUAUAAGACAGAUGUGAAAUCCCCGGGCUCAACCUGCGACCUGCAUUUGUGACUGUAUAGCUAGAGUACGGUAG
rnacentral:rRNA from 1 species